GAUGAAGAACGUAGCGAAAUGCGAUAAGUAAUGUGAAUUGCAGAAUUCAGUGAAUCAUCGAAUCUUUGAACGCACAUUGCGCCCGCCAGUAUUCUGGCGGGCAUGCCUGUUCGAGCGUCAUUACAACCCUCAGGCCCCCGGGCCUGGCGUUGGGGAUCGGCGGAGCCCCCCGUGGGCACACGCCGUCCCCCAAAUGCAGUGGCGGUCCCGCCGCAGCUUCCAUCGCGUAGUAGCUAACACCUCGCGACUGGAGAGCGGCGCGGCCACGCCGUAAAACACCCAACUCUUCUGAAGUUGAACUCGAAUCAGGUAGGAAUACCCGCUGAACUUAAGCAUAUCAAUAAGCGGAGGA
rnacentral:misc_RNA from 1 species